GAUGAACGCUAGCGGCAGGCUUAAUACAUGCAAGUCGAGGGGCAACAGGGGGUAGCAAUACCUGCUGGCGACCGGCAAACGGGUGCGGAACACGUACAGAACCUUCCUUUAAGCGGGGGAUAGCCCAUAGAAAUGUGGAUUAAUACCCCAUAGUAAUAUUAGUUGGCAUCAAUUGAUAUUUAAAGAUUUAUCACUUAAAGAUGGCUGUGCGGCUGAUUAGGUAGUUGGUGNGGGUAACGGCCCACCAAGCCAGCGAUCAGUAACUGGUGUGAGAGCACGACCAGUCACACGGGCACUGAGACACGGGCCCGACUCCUACGGGAGGCAGCAAGUAAGGAAUAUUGGUCAAUGGACGCAAGUCUG
rnacentral:rRNA from 1 species